rnacentral:rRNA from 1 species
AACGCUGGCGGCGUGCCUAACACAUGCAAGUCAAACGAGAAAGUGGAGCUAUCCAUGAGUAAAGUGGCGACCGGGUGAGUAACACGUGACUAACCUACCUUCGAGUGGGGGAUAACCUCGGGAAACCGGGGCUAAUACCGCAUAAUGCCUACGGGUUAAAGGAGCAAUUCGCUUGAAGAGGGGGUCGCGGCUGAUUAGCUAGUUGGCGGGGUAACGGCCCACCAAGGCGAUGAUCGGUAGCCGGCCUGAUAGGGCGCACGGCCACACUGGAACUGAAACACGGUCCAGACUCCUACGGGUGGCAGCAGUGGGGAAUUUUGCGCAAUGGGGGAAACCCUGACGCAGCAACUCCGCGUGGAGGAUGAAGUCCCUUGGGACGUAAACUCCUUUCGACCGGGAUGAUAAUGACGGUACCGGUGGAAGAAGCCCCGGCUAACUUCGUGCCAGCAUCCGCGGUAAUU